rnacentral:rRNA from 1 species
CCUACGGGUGGCAGCAGUGAGGAAUAUUGGUCAAUGGACGAGAGUCUGAACCAGCCAAGUAGCGUGAAGGAUGACGGUCCUAUGGGUUGUAAACCUCUUUUAUCAGGGAAUAAAAGGCGCCACGCGUGCCUUUUCGCGUGUACCCUAUGAAAAAGCAUCGGCUAACUCCGUGCCAGCAGCCGCGGUAAUACGGAGGAUGCGAGCGUUAUCCGGAUUUAUUGGGUUGAAAGGGUGCGUAGACGGGUGGUUAAGUCAGGUGUGAAAAUUGGCGGCUCAACCGUAAAAUAGCCGUUGAAACUGGCAGUCUUGAGUGCAGGAGAGGUAGGCGGAAUGCGUGGUGUAGCGGUGAAAUGCAUAGAUAUCACGAAGAACCCCGAUUGCGAAGGCAGCUUACCAAAGUGUAACUGACACUGAUGCUCGAAAGUGUGGGUAUCAAACAGGAUUAGAUACCCGUGUAGUC